rnacentral:snoRNA from 1 species
UAACCAUGCUGAGGACAUCUUCUAAGUAGAUCUUUGAAUCUCUCCCAAGCUUUACAGAAUAGUUCGAAGUCUACUUGUCUAAAGUGACCAAUUUCACUCCUCAACUG